GUGCUUGUUUUGACAGCACAUAUACAAAAAUUGGAACAAUACAGAGAAGAUUAGCAUGGCCCCCGCACAAGGAUGACACGCAAAUUCAUGAAGAGUUCCAUAUUUUU